rnacentral:lncRNA from 1 species
AGAUAAACAGCAAGGGAUAACAGAAGUGUAGGAUUGAUUGUGAGCUUCUCCCCCCAAACUCAGAAAAACUGCCAGAAGCUCAGAAAAGUAAGCUGCUUGCUCAAGAAUGGACGGCUUCAAGGUGGCAGAGCUGGAAGUUUCUAACUCACUCACCUCAUACUCAGACCUGCACUGUUUUUCAAGACAGUCAAUAUUUCAGGGUUCCCAGACUUUCACUGGGAGGGCAGUCUGCUGGAGAAUUCUAUCUAGCUUGUGAGGCUGAUGUUUUUCUUCCAUUCAGGCCAUCUACUGAUUGGAUGAGGCCCACCAGCAUUCUGAAAGACAAGGAAUCUGAGACCUGGCUGGGAGAAGAGGACUUGCCUAAAGUUAUCCCACACAGCAAAUUAGUUGGAAAACCAGGAUAGUUGAGUAAAUAUCCUGGAGCCCAGCCAAGUAAUGAAGCCAGAAUUCAGAAAGCUGUUUUGGCUAGAUCUUGGAUUUUUACAAUAAAGGGUCUGUAAGGGAUAUUUGUGAAAAAUGUUGACACUUGACGGCUGUCCUGAUUCAUUCAGCUACCUAGGUUAUCUCUGCCUCUCUUUGACUUGUGUUUUGUCUUUUAAGAUGGCAGUCUUGCUCUUUUGCCUGGGCUGGUCUUGAACUCCUGGGCUCAAGCAGUUUUCCUGCUUUAGCCUCCUGAGUAGCUGGGGCUACAGGAGGACAUCACUGUGCCCAGCUCUCUCCGUAUCUUUGACUAGGUUAUUUUACAACCCCAUACGAUAGAAAUGAAGUUAUAGAAAACUGAUAGGAAUACAAAUAAUUAUUAUCCAUGGAAAUGCAAAUUGGAUCUAAUGGAAUGAAACUGAUUUUUUUUCCAGCAGAUAGUGACCACCUUUGUAUCCUUUUGUAAAUUCAUUUCAGCAUUCCAUAUUUGACUAAAAAUGUGUGACACUCCCAAUUUGCUUUUGAAUUCAUUGUAAUAUCUACCAAUUCCCUCAUUAAUUAAUGAGUUAAAUAAAGCCUUUGGCAUGUAUUUAUUUUGUAUCUAUAGGAGAGUCAUGAGUAUAUCUUCUUUUAAAAGGUAUUCUUCAGUAGGUCUUAGGGUGCACAAUACUUACAUCUUAUUUUCUCAUUCUACACUGUUCCCACACCUCACCCAGAAUAAAUGUAAUCUCCUGUGAGCUUCUGAACAUCAUGAAGAAUAACAGCUCAUUUUGUAAAGUCAUUUAGUAUUCG